rfam:Mesocricetus auratus contig014456, whole genome shotgun sequence.
UGUGUAGCUCAGUGGCAGAGUUCUAACCUGCUGUGUAUGACGCUUUGGGUUCAAUUCCCAGCACA